UUGCCCAUCGGGGCUGUGGAUACCUGCUUAAAUUUUU
rfam:Neotoma lepida isolate 417 scaffold_23, whole genome shotgun sequence.